rnacentral:rRNA from 1 species
UACGAAGGGGGCUAGCGUUGCUCGGAAUUACUGGGCGUAAAGGGCGCGUAGGCGGCUGUCUAAGUUGGGGGUGAAAUCCCGGGGCUCAACCUCGGAACCGCCUUCAAUACUGGAUAUCUUGAGUUCGGGAGAGGUGAGUGGAAUGCCGAGUGUAGAGGUGAAAUUCGUAGAUAUUCGGCGGAACACCAGUGGCGAAGGCGACUCACUGGCCCGAUACUGACGCUGAGGCGCGAAAGCGUGGGGAGCAAACAGG